CCAAAUAUUGCACCCAUAAGGCCCAACGUCGAGUUCUGCCCAACUCAGUGCGCCGGCGUCUCGAGGCUUGGCCGCACCGCCGCACUGGUGCUCCCGCAGUCCCACUUCCAGUGGCCAGAGCCCAGAGGCCAGGCAGAAAUCGAACCAAGCCUCCCCCUCCCGGAGCUCCCCGGCGAGGGGGAUGCAGCGACUCGCGGCGACCCGGCGUGGCGGCGGGCCGGCUGCUCCAGGUUCGCUAAGCGCGCUGGAGGACGGCGGCGUGCGGCGGCUCGUGUCCCGCCUCCGUUGGUCCGAGGAGGCCAGGCAGGCAGGGGAUGGGAGAUUCGACCAAGGCCCGGCGUACCGUGAGCCCUUCACCGAGCGCGUUUUUUUCCUCUCUGGAUAAUUGCGACCCUGGGUUGGAGUUAGAUGGCUAGACUGCAAAGCGAGUCUGCAAAUAGUUACACAAUUUUUUCUCUCAGCGCGUGUUUUUCUGCAUCGAGCUUUAGGUUCCUUCACUGCAGAUUGCUGGACUGCAAAUAGUUACAGAUUUCAGUUUGCCAGACUGCAGAUUGCUUAUGUGCGCGUUGGCGAUUUUGCUUA